GACUGAUCAAGGAACAACAAACAGAACAUGCCAUGCUAUGAAGGAGAUCGCUUCUAUGAUCGAUGUAUGACCAGAAAAACUCAUGCAAAUGCACUUUGACCCUGCCUAUGGGAGUUCCUAAACUGGAGUUCCGAAACGGGCAUUCUAUGAACGGGUAUCCAGCUGUAAAAGUUUCCUCGUCUAGUAUCUAGUCUCAUACCUCUUGUGAUGGUGCUACAUCCCGCAUUGACUUUCCUUUUACCUCUACUUAGCCUUAGGGAAGGAUCUCUUUUGUGUUCACAUCCUAGUUUUCCCACAUACGUUUUGCAAAGUUUUCCUAAUAGCAUUCGACGAAAGGGCAACUCUUGCGGGUAUUUGGAGGGUAUUCUAUGGAAAAAGCAUAAUAAGCCAACGGGGUCUUAGGACAAAAGACAUCGGUGACUGAGAUACCUACAUUGAUGAAUCGAACCUAUAGCAAUGCCGCUCCCCUUGCCAAUCUGCUCUUUGCUAGUCCGCUAACCAAGAAUCAAAGGCUUUUAGCAUCCCUUAUGAGAUUGGUUUGACCUCCCGCUAGAUCGAUAGAAAAGAAUAAUUGGACUUGGCUGAGCUGGGGAAAUGAAGGGGAAUAUCUUAUCACUGGCUGAGCUGAGGAAAUGAAGGGGAAUAUCUUAUCACUCCAACGGAAACGAAAUCUCUAGAGAAAGCAUAAGGAAUUAGAUUCGCAAUAGCAGCGGCUAUCCCACCAACUUAUAAGAAAAGGGUGUAAACAGGACCUUAGUUGAUAGUGGAAUUCUUCUGGGAUUGUUUAUAGUUCAAUUAUGACUGUAAGAGUGGAAUUCUUCUGGGAUUGUUUAUAGUUCAAUUAUGACUUUAGUAAGCUAUGUUGGUUGGUGUUAAAGCCCUUAGUUAGGAGAUUGGAAGUAGUAAAGCAGUGCUUGUGGGGUUAGACUUGCCCUCUGCUCUGAGAUGGCGAUAAUUGUGGAGUUUAGUAAAGGCAUGUGGCGAUAAUUGUGGAGUUUAGUAAAGGCAUGGCUUAAGCUAACUCGAUUCGGUCUCGGUAUUUGAAUUAGGUAAAAGAAAGAGGAAUAGGAUCUCUAAAAGAAAGAGGAAGAGGAUCUCAUCGUUAAUAUGUAUCGGUAAAGCUUCUCGACCCCUACAAUGGAUGUCAUCGCUAACAAGCUAUCUGGAUACCUAAAUAUGUAAACCAAUCAGAACCAUACCCACGAGAGUACAGUUCAAUGAUUUGAAUCACUUUAGGGUCGCUAGUGUCCUUUGUCUUCUUUCAAAGAGCAGAUACGAGUACUCAAGCAGCGGCUUGCAAGACUAACAGGGGCAAGAGCCAGUGAUGGCCUAUUUUCCUUUAUCUCUACGCCGAACUGAAGCCUAGUAGGACUUAACUACCUUGAUCUGAAUCUCAGGAACUCAAAUAAUACCAAGGCAAGUCCACUCUCAAUUAAGCAUAAGCUUGGGAUCUUUCUUUCUUUUAAGAAAGCAUUUCCCUUGAAGCCAGGUCUUUCUUCUCUUUUCGGAGCUGGACUUAUUCUUCCUGGUCUUUCUUCUCUUUUCGGAGCUGGACUUAUUCUUCCUGACUGACUCGAUUCACAGUUUCUUCACACUAAGCCGGAGCCAACCCAGGGUGAGAGAGAUAGUAGAGUAGGGACGGGGAAGCAAUGUCACCAAUGGAACUAGCUAUCUGGGAUCUGUUAAUAAAAAGAUAGAGAUGCUCUUCUAGCGGUCCAAGAGCUUCUUCCUUCCUUGAGCUGGCAAUGACUUUAUUCUACCCUGAAAUCGUAGUCAGCCGGUAUAAAGACAUUCAUAUAUUCCCCAGGCACGGGAUAAAGGGAAAGAUAGAGCCGAGAGCCGGGAACGCAAGAAACUUCAUUUCUCUCGAGCGGGAAUCUUCUGAUUUAUAAUACUACCGAGACUACCAAAGCAAAUGCGACUUCUUUCCCCUCUGCUGCAACUGAAAGAUCAAAGACCGAUGACCUUAUUUCCUUCACUCAAUAACAGAACUAAAGGAAUGGAAAGAAAGAUGAACAAACGAAACAACGAAUUUCUCCGGUUUGCCAAUAAUUGCAUUUGAUAAUUGCUCAUAGGUUCAAUUGCCGGGCAAGGUAAAGUGAUGUUUAUUCAUAAGAAUUCUUAGACUCUUGGGGCAAUUUCCGUUCGUAGUUUCCUAGAAGCAAAAUUCUAUAAAGUGACCGGCUCUCGGUUAUCAACAUUUGGAACUACAGGGUUAGCCGGGUUAUCCACAUUCGUCAGGGGUUUACUAAUUGAUCGUUCGGUUAGUUGGUCGGAGAUCCCUUUUCACAAUGUUUGAAUUGUCUCGAGAAGAAUGAGUUGGUUAUCCAGUUCCGGCUUGCGGAUUGAGCUACGUUUGUUUCUUUUAUGAAGCGAGCAGGGAAGCGAAAGGUUUAGAGGAAGCAGCGAGCAGGGAAGCGAAAGGUUUAGAGGAAGCAAAGGGCGGGUGUCCACUUGCUUAGUCGGAAGUGUUUCAACCCAAUAGCAUGGGGUUACUUGGGCUUCAACAUAUGAUUUAUCUGGACGAGGCACAUCUUGGUAGAUGGUGGUGGAGGUUUCUCAAUGAAUCUCAACGCCUCUGAAUCUCAAUCUUCAAGGAGAAAGAAGGGUUGGUUGUCGGGUAACAUUUUUCUACUUGGGGUUUAUGGGCAGCUGGGUCUAACCUUAGGAGGGCAGUUUCUUAAAGGUUUCUAAAGAAGGUUAGGUGGUGGGUGAUGGGAAGUCUACCUUAUUCUGGCUGGACUUAUGGAGCGGCACAACUAGCAACCCGUUUCGCCAACCAGAGGUCCGAUGACCCAACCCCUUCCUUCUACGCUGUGCUGGGCGGUCCCCAAGACUUACUCUGAAUGGCAGGUUUCUCAAUGCGGGAUGUAACUGAUAGGAUGGGUUGGACGGCCUCUUCUCCUUCAGCUCUAUGAGAGAUGGCAGGAUAACGAGCGAAUCUAUCCGCUUGGGAUGGGCAGCUUAGCCAGCUCCAACAAAUGAUGGACCAAGUGAGGGAAGGCUUUCUACCUCGGGCCCUCUCCAGCCUGGGGUGGGUUUAUUACACGAACAGAAAAGGGAUGAAUCCAAGCAAGCAGGAUACAAACCUUGGAAUCCUGAGACUACUCGACGGGCAGGUGCAAUGGAAAGCGAAAGCGGCUCUGCUUAGAAAAAAGCAUUUCCCUUUAUCCUACUUCGGAAAUAGAAGAAUCCAAAGUCGGUUAAGGUGCUCUUACACCAACUGACAGAGAAAUAAAGGCAUUGCCACUUAGUAACAUGACUCCUUUACGUACGGAAUUCCCUACAAGACUCCCAAGAAUGGCAGCAAUACUUACGGAAUAGCAAUAGCAAGCAAUAAACAAGAAAUAAUAAAGAACAUAAAAAGAAGGCUGGACUGGACUGACUCGUUCUAGCGGAUAUGUCUUUGUCGCAGCCAGCGGAAGAUGUAUUCCUUAUAUUAGACUAUGACUAUCGGGAUUGUUACCAUCCUAUGAGAUUGGACGAUAGGGAUUUGUCCCAGCACUCUCACAGGCCAACUCGGAAAAAGCUUUAAGAUAGGCAACGUAGCGGGCAGCCUCAAACGAGAAACCAGUCCAAUCUAUUACAUACGAUCACUGAUCGAAUCGGGAAUCGGGGCCUUCUCAUACUCCUCCAAGUCAGCAACGGGCACAUAGGGUCAAAGUUUCAUAGUCAUUAGUUGGAACCCCCUUCUCUGUACACACCUAUAUGGCAGACUGCAAGCACAGAAGCUAAGGGAACGAUUGAUUUUAGGGGGUUGAUCAGAUUGCCCGAGUUGCCAGAGGUUAAGAAGCUGCUUUCUUUCAUUCGACAAUAGGAAGCAUCGCUUCUUUCAUUCGACAAUAGGAAGCAUCGCUUCUUUCAUUCGACAAUAGGAAGCAUCGGGGAGGAUGGAACGGAACUCUACUUUACAUAAGCUAUUUAGAGCGAUCCCCGUAGAUUAGAUACAACAGGGAAAUUGCAAGGAAAGAGCUGUACUUUGUUUGCUACAGACAUACGAGCUUGACUUUACUACAGACAUACGAGCUUGACUUGACUACAGACAUACCAGGGAGACUCUUACUUACUACUAGCUACUCUUACUUACUACUAGCUGUAUGGAUACCGUAGGCCUCACAUUCUAUUAGGGCAGGUCUAAAGUCACUCUAAAGAAAGGAGAGGAAGGGACCGAUACUACAAUAAUAAAUGGACUGCUCGGCGCAUUGAUUGUUUAUCCCUGGGAAUCCAAGAGAGUAACAAAAGAAAUCAAGUCUAUGAUAAGAACAAGAUUUUGGUAGAUACUAAACCUCUAAGGAUGUAUAAAUCGGAUUGGUAUUCAAAGGGAUGCUAGUGAGUAAGAAAAAGUCGUAUUUAUAUAGACCAAUAGAUUAAGUGGGGACUGUGUGAUGAGAGCUUUAAAGAAAGCCAGUCGUGGUAGAUAGGUAGGAUUGAACCCUUUUCUUUCGUUAGCGAAUUUCCUUCUUCGAUUUGUUCUUGCCAUUGAGAAUAUAAAACAAGUGUUUGAAACCAUUAAGUCAGAGUACUUCACACUUUUCUUCAUUCCAGCUUGAGUCCUCUUUUCCUUUUCCUGUUAACGUUUCCAGUAGCUCGGUUCAAGAAGUAUGGAAAGAUUUCUUUCUGUGAGGUCAUAUCAUAUAUGAAUUGGAAUAAGCAUAAAGAAGAAAAGCACCUUACUGGAUCUAGCACUUAUUACUUGCUUGCUCACCAGGACAGGGUCAUUCGCGGGUGCGUUUUUGGGCUUACAGGAUUAGUUGCUUCAAAUGGAACUACAGGCUAUCCUUUUCCUUACUAAUACAGCGGGACUCCAGAUUCUCACUUGCUUGCUGGGCACAGGUAACUUCCUGACUUUGGAUUCUUUCUGGAGUAAGGGGAGUCUGCCGCUCAUACAACCAAUUGGGCUAGAUCGAGCAUGCGACGCGAGCGGGUCCUCUUCACCAUUUGGCUUUUAUAGCGGGGCCUUCUACCCGAUAUGAGAUAGGUUGCUGCUAUAGUAGGAAUUCCAAACUGUUACCACUCGUCAUGCCUCCAUCGUCUUAUAGUACUUGCUAACAAAGAACAUGAACAUUUGCUUUAUGGAUACAUUUUCUUCCCAUCUUCCAAGAAAAUCAAAGCCGCUUUUGGGUACAUUGAUCCAAAAGUAUCUCACGACGAUUUAUAGCGAGCGAUACCUUAACUUACAAGCCGGCUUAAAGGUAGGUGCCUUCUCAGCUACUUAUGUAAUCUCAUCCUAUGUUAUGUAUGAGGUGAUUGAUCCAUAUGGUUCUAUCCCAAGGUUCAACAAGUUAUUAGCUAUGAUAGGGUCUUUUAGAGUGGGAAAGCGUUUUUUGCCUCUCUCAUAGCACCACACGAGUACUCCUAUUCUGUCCAGGCAGCAGAACAACGUGAGAUCAAAGGUAAGCAGGAAGAACGGCGGAGCCAGAAACCUACCCGCUUCUUUUCUGCUAUAGGAAAGCCUCCAUCAUCAUAUUAUUCAUUCAUGUUCGAUUCUUCAAGACGUUAUUUUAUUGGGUCUUGCAAUGGUGGCUCUGGGAGCAUAUCGAUGUUGGGCGUCCUCGUCGAGCAGAGGUUGAUCAUCGCGUCUUUCCGCGUUAAGACUAUGACUUUUGGAGACUAGGACUCGGGUUGAGUCGAAGUUGAUUAAGAGCUUUACCCACGGAGCAGUUAAGUGAGAAUUGGGAGCAUACCCCACAGGGCAGAAGUGGAUUGAAUGGGACAGUAAUUAAACAAACAAGCAAUGUCGAUCACAUCAUCGGUUAUGAGUCAAAGGACUAUCAUCGUCCUGAAAGAGCCAUUUGAUUAAAGAGGUCAGAGAAGUUAAGCGACACAAUAGUGGAUCAGAGAAGAUAAGUAGGGUCUGGUCUGUUCUUCCCCCUCAUCUGGAUGUUCAAAUCGGGAUUUCAUAAACCAACAGCCAUAUCCACUUGAACCCCAAUCCAACUACCGAAGCUUUUGGUGCUGCUAGAAAGCGUUCAACCGGCCAGCCAGAUCUAUUGAAUCAACAAGUGGACUCAAUCUCGCGAUCUUAAUCCAUCUAUCACGACCACCCCCAAUGAAACAUCCUGACUAUCCACGGUAAUACUAACUAUCCAUGGUGUAAUAUCCUUACCCCUUUAGAGAAGAACGACUCUCUACUAAAUGGCAUGAUGCCCAUAAAGCGCCCGCCGGUGGCUACUUAUGCCCGGACGUACUGCCCAGCCCAUAGAAAUCCAAGAGAUUACAUAUAUAAUAGAAUAGAACCGAACGAUUGAAGCGUAGAAUAUAACUGAACGAUUGAAGCGGGAAAGCUGGAAAUCCCCUAGAUCUUAUUUCUAUAAUAGAACCCGGUUAAAGCGCUGUUAUUCAAAAGUUGAUGAUUGCUGUGCUGCUUCACUUCAGUCUUUAGCAUCCUUUCCACUAUACGGAUUAGUCCUAACUGCGCUUAUGUAGCAUCUCUGAGAAAACAACCAAAUGUCUUGCUCUUGCCAUGCCAUUGUGAAUGUGCAGUUCCUUCUGCCCAUCCAGAAACCUAUAAAAGAGUGAAAGUUGAUAAUCCAUGCGUUAAGCCUUAAGUCCCAGUCAUGAAGAGGUAGGGUCGGAAAGAGAGUAGUCAAUUCCUUCCUAUAAAGACCCUAUUUCUGUAACAACUUGUAUUCGAUGCUAUUAUAUGUAACUUCACACAAACAACCUAUUUGAAAACAACUUAUUUCCAUCAAGCAAGGAAAGAAAAUGGGGGCAACACUGCCAUUUCCGCGGAUCACAGUACCUAGCAAUAUUCCUAUUCCUAACUGCUCCCCUUUUAGCGUAGGAACAAAAUGGGGUAAUUCCUUUUCGAUAGCACAAGUAUAGGUCUGGUGGGCAUAACUAAUACCUGCCAUCCAUACUCGGAUAAAGGAAAGGGAUCGGAAGGGCCUAUUUAUUCGUUGUCCGUGGGUAUCUUCUACUCCCCGAAAUAAGUUAGGACAGCAAAAUCCCCUCUCUCUCUCUUUAAGGCACCCUGCGGAUUAGUACUUGCUUGAGGUGGAUGCGGCUAGGACUUUUGGACAAAAGAUCAAGCAGGAUAUCUAAACCUUUGCGACGCCAUCUCUUAUGAAAGAGGUUAUUGGGGGAAUAUGAGAUGAGAAGUAGAAAGCGCCUAAGAUAGGAAAUGCUCUUGAAAGAUUCAUCCUACUCGUGUGCGUGGAUAGCUGAACUGUUCGAAGCCUUGUCCC
rnacentral:lncRNA from 1 species